rnacentral:rRNA from 1 species
UACGUAGGGAGCAAGCGUUGUCCGGAAUCAUUGGGCGUAAAGAGCGUGUAGGCGGCCCGGUAAGUCCGCUGUGAAAGUCCAGGGCUCAACCCUGGGAUGCCGGUGGAUACUGCCGGGCUAGAGUCCGGAAGAGGCGAGUGGAAUUCCUGGUGUAGCGGUGGAAUGCGCAGAUAUCAGGAGGAACACCAAUAGCGAAGGCAGCUCGCUGGGACGGUACUGACGCUAAGGCGCGAAAGCGUGGGGAGCGAACAGG